GGGUCAAAUGGUAUUUCUGGUUCUAGAUCCUUGAGGAAUCACCACACUGUCUUCCACAAUAGUUGAACUAAUUUACACUCCUAUCAACAGUGUAAAAGCAUUCCUCUUUCUCUGUAUCCUCUCCAGCAUCUGUUGUUUCCUGCAUCUCUACUAAGAAUACAAAAAUUAGCUGGCCGUGGUGGUGCACACCUGUAUUCCCAGCUACUUGGCUGAGGCAUGAGAAUCGCUUGAAUCCAGGAGGCGGAGGUUGCAGUGAGCUGAGAUGGAGAUUGAGCCACUGAACUCCAGCCUGGGUGACAGAGUGAGACUCUGUCUCAAAAAAAAAGGAACACUGAGGUGGCCCCACCCCAAGCUGGCACAGCCUCCAACUACCUCCUUCCCUUACCUGUCUCCUCCCACCCUGACCCCAAAGCCCUCAUCCAAGAAAGUACAACAUUAGUGUUAGUGCCCAGGAUGUCUCCCAGAUGUGUGGUUAGUGUUGUGUGUAAUCCCUGCCUUUACUAAAGAUUCAAAUGUCAAUGAGUGCCUCUUUUUAGAUAGACCUGGUACUAAAACAUGAGAGAUAUCAUCAGUGAACUCUUGUAAAGCACCAAAUUUUGGCCCAGAAAAUAAAUUACGAAAUUAUUGAUUAAGCACUUAUUGUGUGAUGUUGUCAUACAGAAGCAGGACAUGCAGAGAGGCCAUGUUCUCCAGGAGCAUGAACAGAGAGGACAGGUCAGCUUCAGGGGAUGUCAGGUCGGAGCUGCCCACGGAGAGCCACAGGUCCCUGGGAAGGGGGAGAUCCAGGGAGUUGGAGGGGCCAGCAAAGAACACAAGGUGUGAGCUGCUUUGAUGUGGCUUCCAGAAUGAAUGAAGCGUUUCAACCCAGAGUGACUAAGGCAAGGCAGUGGAGACCACAGGGAGCAGAGUAAAAUUGUUCAAUUAC
rnacentral:lncRNA from 1 species